ACUGACACUCCUACGGGAGGCAGCAGUAAGGAAUAUUGGACAAUGGACGCAAGUCUGAUCCAGCCAUCCCGCGUGCAGGAAUAAUGCCCUAUGGGUUGUAAACUGCUUUAGCUAGGGAAUAAAGGUCGUUAUUUAUAAUGAUUUGAAGGUACCUAGAGAAUAAGCACCGGCUAACUCCGUGCCAGCAGCCGCGGUAAUACGGAGGGUGCGAGCGUUAAUCGGAAUUACUGGGCGUAAAGCGCAUGCAGGUGGUUUGUUAAGUCAGAUGUGAAAGCCCGGGGCUCAACCUCGGAAUUGCAUUUGAAACUGGCAGACUAGAGUACUGUAGAGGGGGUAGAAUUUCAGGUGUAGCGGUGAAAUGCGUAGAGAUCUGAAGGAAUACCGGUGGCGAAGGCGGCCCCCUGGACAGAUACUGACACUCAGAUGCGAAAGCGUGGGGAGCAAACAGGAUUAGAUACCCUGGUAG
rnacentral:rRNA from 1 species